rnacentral:misc_RNA from 1 species
UGCGGCGGCGGUCACCUUCG